GCCUGCUUAGCUCAGUGGUAGAGCGCAUCACUAGUACCUCCUGGAAUCCCCACGAGAUGAUGAGGCCGCCAGUUCAAUUCUGGUAGCAGGCA